rnacentral:rRNA from 1 species
CUACGGGGCGCUCCAGUCGCGGAACUUUUACAAUGCACGCAAGUGUGAUAAAGCGAACCAAAGUGCCAUUCGUAUAGAAUGGCUUUUCUUUACUGUAAAAAUGUAGAGGAAUAAGGACUGGGAAAGACCGGUGCCAGCCGCCGCGGUAAUACCGGCAGUUCAAGUCGCAUCCACUUUUAUUGGGUCUAACACAUCCGUAGCUUGCCAUAUAAGUCUCUUGUGAAAUACUACGUCUCAAGCGUAGGGCUUGCAGGAGAUACUGUAUGGCUAGAGAUCGGUAGACGUAAGGAGUACGCCGGAGGGAGUGGUAAAAUACGUUAAUCUUCGGUGGACUAACAAUCAGCGAAGGCACCUUACGAGGACGAAUCUGACAGUGAGGGAUGAAGGCCAGGGGCGCAAAACGGAUUAGAUACCCCCGUAGUC